rnacentral:rRNA from 1 species
GCAAGAUUAAAACUCAAAGGAAUAGACGGGGACCCACACAAGCAGUGGAUCACGUGGUUUAAUUCGACAAUAAACGGGGAAUCUCACCCAGACUUGACAUCCUGAGAAUCUUUGAGAAAUCAGAGAGUGCCUCUACGGGAACUCAGUGACAGGUGCUGCAUGGUUGUCGUCAGCUCGUGCCUUGAGGUGUUCGGUUAAGUCCGUUAACGAGCGCAACCCAUGUCCUUAGUUACUAUGUCUAAGGAGACUGCCUUGGUUAACAAGGAGGAAGGUGUGGAUGACGUCAAAUCAGCAUGGCUUUUACGUCUGGGGCUACACACAUGAUACAAUGGUAUGUACAAAGAGCAGCAAUAUCGCGAGAUGGAGCCAAUCUUCAAAGCAUAUCUCAGUCCGGAUUGGAGUCUGAAACUCGACUCCAUGAAGUUGGAAUUGCUAGUAAUCGUGAAUCAGAUAUGUCACGGUGAAUGUGUUCCUGGGUCUUGUA